rnacentral:rRNA from 1 species
UACGUAGGAGACGAGCGUUGUCCGGAGUUACUGGGCGUAAAGGGUGCGCAGGCGGCGUCGCGCGUGGGGGGUGAAAUCGCCCGGCUUAACUGGGCGGGGGCCUUCCAGACGGCGUGGCUUGAGCAGCGGAGGGGGACGUGGAAUUCCGGGUGGAGCGGUGAAAUGCGUAGAGAUCCGGAGGAACACCGACGGCGCAGGCGGCGUCCUGGCCGCUUGCUGACACUGAGGCACGAAAGCUGGGGGAGCAAACAGG